rnacentral:rRNA from 1 species
CACGUAGGGCGCAAGCGUUGUCCGGAAUUAUUGGGCGUAAAGAGCGUGUAGGCGGCCAGGUAGGUCCGUUGUGAAAACUCGAGGCUCAACCUCGAGACGUCGGCGGAAACCCUCUGGCUAGAGUCCGGAAGAGGAGAGUGGAAUUCCUGGUGUAGCGGUGAAAUGCGCAGAUAUCAGGAAGAACACCCGUGGCGAAGGCGGCUCUCUGGGACGGUACUGACGCUGAGGCGCGAAGGCCAGGGGAGCAAACGGG